CUGCCAGUCGAGAUGCGGCAGAGGCAGACAGCUAGGCACAGAGGAGCCGAGUUGUAAACUUGGCUUUUCCUGAUGCUGCCUACUGUCGCGCAUACGAAGAACAUUACCUCUGGGUAGCCAGGAGCCGAGAUGCAGUCUGAAUGUGCACGGUGGCUUCUGACGUGGCAGCGUGAAUUCUCAGCUGGGCAGUUCAAAAGACACGUAUAGAAGCUCUCAUCUAUACUCUCAUCCACCUGGUUCCUACAAACACUGUCCUGCACCAUGACUGGAAGAAGAAGCAUUUGGAGGUUUCCCCAAGAAACUAGUUGGAAACAUUGAUUUAGAAGAACUGUGAGCUUUGACUUAAGGAAUAGGCCACUACUAUCCAGUCAAGAACUUCAGCAGGCUCUGGUCCCUGCUGACAGUUCCCUAGGUAAAUGAGUUAAGGAUAGACUACAGUCCUCCUUGUAGACAGAUGAAGAUGAGUUACAAGGUCAACUGCAAGAACAAACUAGAAACUUCUGGCACAAGGCAACAUGUCCAGACAGUCUCAGCAUUUGUUUCCAUAGACUUCUAUGUUGGGCACAGGAGGGGUCAAGGGGUGAUUUCACAUGAGCACU